CCCGCUGAACUUAAGCAUAUCAAUAAGCGGAGGAAAAGAAACUAACAAGGAUUCCCCUAGUAACGGCGAGUGAAGAGGGAAGAGCUCAAAUUUUGAAUCUGGCGUCUCUGGCGUCCGAAUUGUAAUCUAGAGAAGUGUUUUCCGUGACGGACCGUGCACAAGUCUCCUGGAAUGGAGCGUCAUAGAGGGUGAGAAUCCCGUAUAUGGCAUGGACUCCCGUUGCUCUGUGAUACACUCUCGACGAGUCGAGUUGUUUGGGAAUGCAGCUCCAAAUGGGUGGUAAAUGCCAUCUAAAGCUAAAUACUGGCGAGAGACCGAUAGCGAACAAGUACCGUGAGGGAAAGAUGAAAAGCACUUUGGAAAGAGAGUGAAACAGUACGUGAAAUUGUUGAAAGGGAAACGCUUGAAGUCAGUCGCGUCGACCGAGACUCAGCCUCGCCUUGGCUUGGUGUACUUCUCGGCUGACGGGUCAGCAUCAAUUUCGAUCCUUGGAUAAUGGCAAGGGAAAGGUAGCACCUUUACAGGUGUGUUAUAGUCCUUUGUCGGAUGCAAGGGUUGGGAUUGAGGAACUCAGCACGCACCUCAUCGGUGUCGGGGCCUUUUGGCCUACGUUACGUGCUUAGGAUGCUGGCAUAAUGGCUUUAAACGACCCGUCUUGAAACACGG
rnacentral:rRNA from 1 species